GCUGUCUGGUUGCGGCUGGUGAAAAGGAACCACAUCAACCCAGAAAAAGGAUUUGGUCCCCUUCAACCAGCCGCAACUGGUCAGGAUU
rfam:Xenopus tropicalis strain Nigerian Chr02_contig_1556, whole genome shotgun sequence.